CCAAAACUGCGGCGUCUCUGUGACGUACAUCCGGGAGAGACGAAGAAGAAGCUUCGAGGCAGGUAACGCGCGCGUAUAUAUCUUCGUGAAAUCAAUUAUUUAUCCCGCUUUAGGACUCUCACGCGACACAUAAUUGUAGGUUAGAUUUGCGGGAUAGUGUAUCUAGGAGCAGCGACGCGAAGUUAGUCGCGCGACUAUAUCGACUUCUCGCUGCGUUCGAUAUGAUUUAUCGAAUGUCUCGGAUCGGAGCAUUCGGUCGGAGCGUGCAGUUUCGCGCGGUCGUAAUAUUUAUAUUUCCAUCGUAAUAAAGUGCGUAUUGUGUGCGGGAAUGUCGCGAAGUGUCGCGCGAUCAUUAUAUUGUGAUAAUUAAUGCGAGUGUUAAGUAGUAAGUACUUUUUUUCGCGAAUAAUCGUGUGUGUGUUAUCUGGAGAAGCAGCAGUGGAGAAGCCGCAAGGAACAACGAAAGACAGAAUGUUUAGGAUGGAAUAUACAAGCAAUGCUACAAGUUCUACGCUUAUAUUUGUGAAGGAUAAACGAAUGUACAUUGAAAAGACUUCAACAGAAUCUCUGCAAGAGUUGUUAAUGACAAUGUAAGACAUUAAUGGUGAGUACUUAGUGCAAUCAUUUAUUCGUUUAAUACCGACUAAAGCGUAAAUUGUUUUGAUAAUGAAUUUGUUUAAUGGACUUAAAUUAGAGAUACCCUGUCUAAUUUGCUAAAAGUACUAACAGUUGUAAGUUUAUUACAAUGCUUUAAUUUAAUUAUAAAAAUAGACUCGGCAUCCUUUUGAUUUAAAUAUACCGAUCAUAUUUUAGUAUUCAUUAAUAAUUGCAAAAUUAAUCCCGUUAUUGUAUAAAAAUUAUUUAUAUUAUUUCUAAUCUUAGUAAGAUUAUUAGACCAAUAUCAUAAAUUCAUACCUUUCUUUUUGUUGCAUUUGCUUGAGCAUAAUAUCCGCUAGUGGAUCAGCAGGGGGUCUUUCUCCCAGAAGUCUCUGGCGAUCCAAAUCACCUUGCAUUUGUGCAAAGGCAUGCUCUCCAAUAUUCACAGAGGUUUCCAAUUGUGCCGAAAGUUCCACCGUUUCGUCGCCUAAAAAACGCAAUACAUUUUUUAAAGAAGCAUUACUUAAACCAUACGCAGCUGCAACAUUUUAUAACAUGCUCUUUUACCAUGCAAAGCGUGCUGAGGAUUGUCAAUAAUUCUGAUUUGUCUAUCUGGGAGUAGAGGUUCCCCGUCCUGUCCACCAAUAUCAUUCGGCAAUUGCCAACAAGCGUUAUCCUGCUCCGCCAGAUUUCGAGGAAAAUAAAGUGGCAGAAGUAUUUCGUAAAUUCCAAGGUCGCAAGGUUCCAGUACAAAUAUAAUACACGUUAACGAAUCGCUAUAUUGCUCCAUGAAUCUGCGUACGGUUCCUAUAAAAAGAAAUCAUUUAUUUAUCACAUAUUAAUCGGAUAUUAUUGCUUAUAUAAAUUUACAUAAACAUUUGCAUUUGUACUUACUAAGAGCUAUAUGCGCUCCUGCGUCUGGUGGAUAAUUUCUUCGUACUGAAUUUAUUACUGGUAGAGCAAUGGUACGAAGUCCCAUUUCUUUUGCUUUUUGUAAGACAUUUCUAUGACGAGAAAAUAGAAUUAAAAUAUUAAUUAUUAACAUUUCUUUUAUGAGAACUUGUUUCUUGUAUAUUAGUGUGUAAAAAUAAGGCAAUGAUUAUGCUUAUACAUAUAUGAACGAAUGCUGUAAAUAUUUAAGUAAUGUUUAAAUACCUAUAGCAACAAUGUAAUGUAUUUUGCGCAGCUGUUUGAUACUUGACAUUAUAAACUGGUCCAACAGUAUGAAUAAUAAAACGAGCAGGUAAUCCAUGA